GAAGGUAUAGCUCAGUGGUAAAGUGACUGCUUACCAUGCAUGAGGUCCUGGGUUCAAUCCCCAGUACCUCCA
rfam:Camelus ferus unplaced genomic scaffold scaffold717, whole genome shotgun sequence.